AUGCUCAUUAUCAGGAGCAGUGGUACCCCAAACCUUGGCCACAGAA
rnacentral:sRNA from 1 species